UACCUACGGGGGGCAGCAGUGGGGGAUAUUGGACAAUGGGGGGAACCCUGAUCCAGCGACGCCGCGUGAGUGAAGAAGUAUUUCGGUAUGUAAAGCUCUGUCAGCAGGGAAGAAAGCAAUGACGGUACCUGACCAAGAAGCCCCGGCUAACUACGUGCCAGCAGCCGCGGUAAUACGGAGGAUGCGAGCGUUAUCCGGAUUUAUUGGGUUUAAAGGGUGCGCAGGCGGAGGUGCAAGUCAGUGGUCAAAUUGCGGGGCUCAACCCCGUACUGCCGUUGAAACUGCAUCCCUUGAGUGCGCGAGAA
rnacentral:rRNA from 1 species